rnacentral:rRNA from 1 species
UGGUAAUUCUAGAGCUAAUACAUGCUGAAAACCUCGACUUCGGGAGAGGUGUAUUUAUUAGAUAAAAAACCAACGCCCUUCGGGGCUUCUUGGUGAUUCAUGAUAACUUUACGGAUCGCAUGGCCUUGCGCCGGCGACGGUUCAUUCAAAUUUCUGCCCUAUCAACUUUCGAUGGUAAGGUAUUGGCUUACCAUGGUUUCAACGGGUAACGGGGAAUUAGGGUUCGAUUCCGGAGAGGGAGCCUGAGAAACGGCUACCACAUCCAAGGAAGGCAGCAGGCGCGCAAAUUACCCAAUCCCGACACGGGGAGGUAGUGACAAUAAAUACUGAUACAGGGCUCUUUUGGGUCUUGUAAUUGGAAUGAGUACAAUUUAAACCUCUUAACGAGGAACAAUUGGAGGGCAAGUCUGGUGCCAGCAGCCGCGGUAAUUCCAGCUCCAAUAGCGUAUAUUAAAGUUGUUGCAGUUAAAAAGCUCGUAGUUGAACCUUGGGUCUGGCUGGCAGGUCCGCCUCACCGCGUGUACUUGUCCGGCCGGGCCUUCCUUCUGGAGAACCUCAUGCCCUUCACUGGGCGUGUUGGGGACCAGGA